rnacentral:tRNA from 1 species
UAGCUCAAUUGGUAAAGAAUCUGCCUGCAAUGCAGGAGACCCAGGUUCGAUUCCUGG